rnacentral:lncRNA from 1 species
GCGUCCUAGGGCACCUGGCGCAGGGGCGGACUGGAAACCCCAGGCAAACGCAGAGGCGGAGAUGGCAUUCCAGGCGGGAGAUCAAGCAAAGGCAGAGAGGGAGGACGGCACCGAGCGGCUCCCUCUGACCAGGACUGAGGAUGAUGCGACCUGAUACCGCCGGAGGGAAGCCUGGGCCCGCUGAGCAAGAUAAGAACCUGAAACCCAGAAUAGUGCCCAAGGGAGCGGGUGUCUGGAGGCCCUUUCAUAUUUCAAAACUGUCAACCAUAAGAUAAUGAAGGCAUCUUUCAAGAGACUUGGAACAGAAACUUCUGCUGCCUAAAAUCUCUCUCCCUAAACUUUCUGUUGCAGAUGAGACUGAAGCUCAAAGAAG